CUUGCUCCUUUGACGUUAGCGGCGGACGGGUGAGUAACACGUGGAUAACCUACCUAUAAGACUGGGAUAACUUCGGGAAACCGGAGCUAAUACCGGAUAACAUAUUGAACCGCAUGGUUCAAUAGUGAAAGGCGGCUUUGCUGUCACUUAUAGAUGGAUCCGCGCCGUAUUAGCUAGUUGGUAAGGUAACGGCUUACCAAGGCAACGAUACGUAGCCGACCUGAGAGGGUGAUCGGCCACACUGGAACUGAGACACGGUCCAGACUCCUACGGGAGGCAGCAGUAGGGAAUCUUCCGCAAUGGGCGAAAGCCUGACGGAGCAACGCCGCGUGAGUGAUGAAGGUCUUCGGAUCGUAAAACUCUGUUAUCAGGGAAGAACAUAUGUGUAAGUAACUGUGCACAUCUUGACGGUACCUGAUCAGAAAGCCACGGCUAACUACGUGCCAGCAGCCGCGGUAAUACGUAGGUGGCAAGCGUUAUCCGGAAUUAUUGGGCGUAAAGCGCGCGUAGGCGGUUUUUUAAGUCUGAUGUGAAAGCCCACGGCUCAACCGUGGAGGGUCAUUGGAAACUG
rnacentral:rRNA from 1 species